rnacentral:rRNA from 1 species
GGAGGGUGCGAGCGUUAAUCGGAAUUACUGGGCGUAAAGCGUACGCAGGCGGUUUGUUAAGCGAGAUGUGAAAGCCCCGGGCUCAACCUGGGAACUGCAUUUCGAACUGGCAAACUAGAGUGUGAUAGAGGGUGGUAGAAUUUCAGGUGUAGCGGUGAAAUGCGUAGAGAUCUGAAGGAAUACCGAUGGCGAAGGCAGCCACCUGGGUCAACACUGACGCUCAUGUACGAAAGCGUGGGGAGCAAACAGGAUUAGAUACCCUGGUAGUCCACGCCGUAAACGAUGUCUACUAGAAGCUCGGGUCUUCGGACUUGUUUUUCAAAGCUAACGCAUUAAGUAGACCGCCUGGGGAGUACGGCCGCAAGGUUAAAACUCAAAUGAAUUGACGGGGGCCCGCACAAGCGGUGGAGCAUGUGGUUUAAUUCGAUGCAACGCGAAGAACCUUACCUACACUUGACAUACAGAGAACUUACCAGAGAUGGUUUGGUUCCUUCGGGAACUCUGAUACAGGUGCUGCAUGGCUGUCGUCAGCUCGUGUUGUGAGAUGUUGGGUUAA